rnacentral:rRNA from 1 species
AAAUUGAAGAGUUUGAUCAUGGCUCAGAUUGAACGCUGGCGGCAGGCCUAACACAUGCAAGUCGAACGGUAACAGGAAGCAGCUUGCUGCUUUGCUGACGAGUGGCGGACGGGUGAGUAAUGUCUGGGAAACUGCCUGAUGGAGGGGGAUAACUACUGGAAACGGUGGCUAAUACCGCAUAACGUCGCAAGACCAAAGAGGGGGACCUUCGGGCCUCUUGCCAUCAGAUGUGCCCAGAUGGGAUUAGCUUGUUGGUGAGGUAACGGCUCACCAAGGCAACGAUCCCUAGCUGGUCUGAGAGGAUGACCAGCCACACUGGAACUGAGACACGGUCCAGACUCCUACGGGAGGCAGCAGUGGGGAAUAUUGCACAAUGGGCGCAAGCCUGAUGCAGCCAUGCCGCGUGUAUGAAGAAGGCCUUCGGGUUGUAAAGUACUUUCAGCGGGGAGGAAGGUGUUGUGGUUAAUAACCGCAGCAAUUGACGUUACCCGCAGAAGAAGCACCGGCUAACUCCGUGCCAGCAGCCGCGGUAAUACGGAGGGUGCAAGCGUUAAUCGGAAUUACUGGGCGUAAAGCGCACGCAGGCGGUCUGUCAAGUC